GUUUGGUCGGUGACGCAGAGGGUCAUGUGUUGUUUGUGCUCUGGCCCGUAGAGAUGUGUACAGAGAAGGGAACGGAUUGCUAACCGAGCUAGCCGGAUCCUCCCGAUUACAGAAACACUGCUGAACGUGGUCAUGUUGCACACGGCAGGCUUCAUUUCGUGAAAAAGCCCGCAUUGGAAUACCCGCCUCGCUGCUAGAAGGGCAAAGGGACUUGUUUUUUGACGGAAUAACAGAGCCGGUCCUUGAGGAUUGCAAAUCUGAGCCGUGCGAGUCAACGUUAGCUGGCCUAGCCGGACUCAGGAGCUCGUCUCCCAAAACAAGAAUGGGGUCUAGGUCCACUCGGAUUAGCUUGCUAGUAAAGUGACCUUUGAUUGUGUUUUCUGAUGGCAAAUUUCACGAAUUACCAGGAAGGCAAGGCAGCGAUGUUGAUGGUGGAGACGCAGCAGAGGGACGUGGGGACGAAAUCUGCGGCCACCGCCGCAAACGGAGACGGCUCGGUCGGGGAACCCCCUUCCCCGUUAAUUAAUAUCGGCGGCGGAGGAGGAGGCGGCUCUCGUUUCCAUCAGCAUUUACCGCCCUCCAACCACCUCCACCAUCAACACCUCAGCCACCAAUACCCGCCAAAGGAUCAACAGCAGCACCAUCACUACCAGCUGGCCCCGCAGCAACAGCAGCAGCAGCAGCAGCAUCUUUCCGGAGACAACAUCGCAGAGUCCCCGGGCAGGAAAGCCUCCUCUUCGUCUCUCAGCCAGGUACAUGCCGCCGAGGACCCCGCCGCUUCCUCCUCCGCUAGCCGCAGCAGCAGCAGCAGCAGCAGCCAUGUAUACGCGGCUGUGAACGUCGCAAAUACCUCGGACGCUGUGGAUGAUAUUCGAAAAUGUGGCUAUUUAAGAAAGCAAAAACAUGGACACAAGCGGUUUUUCGUGCUUCGCGCUGCCAGCCACCUCGGUCCGAGCCGCCUGGAGUACUACGACAGCGAGAAAAAAUUCAGGAACAGCCUGCGCUCUGCUGCCGCGGCCGCCGCAAGCGGUGGAGCGGUCGCCCCUUCUCCCCCUAAAAGGGUUAUUUACCUCUAUCAGUGCUUCACGGUAAACAAAAGGGCUGAUUCUAAAAACAAACACCUCAUUGCCCUUUACACUAAGGACGAGUACUUUGCUAUUGUGGCUGAAAACGAGCAGGAGCAAGAAGACUGGUACGUAGCUGUCAGUGAGUUGAUGAGUGAGGGCAAAAAAGGGCACUUGGAUUCUGAUGAUUUAGAUGAUGGAUAUGGUACAGUCACCCCUGGUACUGUGUUUAAAGAGGUGUGGCAGGUGAAUGUGAAACCUAAAGGACUCGGUCAAACUAAAAACCUCACAGGUGUUUACCGGCUAUGCCUCUCAACUAAAACCAUUCACCUCGUUAAGUUGAACUCUGAAACUCCCUGUGUUAACCUUCAGUUGAUGAACAUCAGGCGCUGUGGACAUUCAGAAAGCUUCUUUUUCAUUGAGGUGGGCCGCUCCUCCUCCAUCGGGCCUGGGGAGAUAUGGAUGCAAGUGGAUGAUUCUGUUGUGGCCCAAAACAUGCAUGAGACCAUCUUGGAGACAAUGAAAGCGCUGAAAGCUUUUGCAGAGUUUCGGCCCAGGAGUAAGAGUCAGUCAUCAGGCUCCAAUCCCAUGCCGUUUAUCACAACGCGGCGUCACCUGGGCAACCUGCCACCGAGCCAGACAGGACUGCAGCGGCGGUCGAGGACAGAGUCGGUCGUUGGCACGCCGCCGUCAAGCAAGAGCUCUGGGGCUAGCGGUUAUCGCUUCCGAACAUCCAGUGAGGGUGAGGGGACGAUGAACCGGCCGUUCCGCUCCGCUACAGGAAGUCUGGUUCACCUUAACUCUGCACGUGCCCAUCAUGGCCGCCAGGAAGGGGAUGCCAACAGCAGUGGGAGUGGCGCCGCCACAGGAAAUGUUGGCACGAGCACCAGCAGUGGACGCUAUGUCAGAGCCAUCCCAGGGUCGUCAUCCACCUACCAUGCUCGCUCCGCCUCGCUGCCUGUCUCUCACUUCCCCUCCACCACCAGUCCAGUCAGCGUCUCCUCCAGCAGUGGCCAUGGCUCAGUAUCAGACACUCUCACCCGCCCAUCAAGCGCCUCGAUAUGUGGCUCGCCAUCUGACGGCGGCUUCAACUCUUCAGAUGAGUAUGGCUCUAGUCCUGGUGACUUCAGAUACUUCCGGGUGCGGAGUAACACACCAGACUCCCUGGGCAACACCCCACCAAUCAGAGAAGAGAACUGUCUAAAUGAUUACAUGGCCAUGGGCUGGAACCGGGAGGUUUUCGGCACCAGCGGGGGCUCCGGAAACAACAGUGGAGGUGACACGCCACGGGACGAGAGCACAUCAACGACUGAAGAUGAACGCUUGUCUUUGUCAUCAUCAUCAUCACUGAGGAGGAGGACUCAGUCUUUCUCCAGACCAGCUGGUGGUGCAACUGGCGGUUCUGGAGUGGCAGUUUACCAGAAAAUGACCCAGACCAACUUCUCAUUGGAUGAGGGCUCAGAUGUUGUGUUACCAUUUGGCAGCGGGCUGCUCCGUGGCGGGCCUUCCUCUUCCUCUUCCUCCCUUCGCUCUGACUACAGCUCUUGCUCCGAGCACAGCCAGCAGAGUCGUCCCUCCACACUCUCCCGAACAGAGGCCAGUGGUGAGCGCCCGCCCCUUUCCUCCUCCUCCUCUGCCAAGGAAGACAGCGGCUACAUGCCUAUGAUGUGUGGCGUGGCUGCAUCGCCACGGGACACGCCCACUGACUACAUGCCUAUGCAACCCAGUUCUUACUCCCAUCAAACAUCCCAUUCUCCUCAGUUUCACAGUCCAGCUUUAGGUCCCCGUUCUGCCCACCACCAAUCCCAGCUUCAGUCCCAAUCCUCUACAGACUCCCACGGCUACAUGAUGAUGCUCCCAGGGGGCAGUGGAAGCUCCCCUUCUCCAGGACAGGCCUCUCCCAGCCCUCACAGUAGCUCAAGCAUGGCAGGUGCCAGUGGAAGUGACAGCAUAGCAGAGAGACCAGAAAAUGGAGAAUAUAUGGACAUGUCAUACAGUGGUAGUGGGGGGCGCAAGCUCUCAAAUGAAGGGAGCAGUGUGUAUUACACACCUUGCACACCUGAAGGCACCCCAAAGACUUACAGCCCUUAUUUCUCCCUCCCUCGUUCCUUCAAGGCCCCCACUAGAGAGCGGGACGAGAAGGAAUAUGGGGAAUAUGUUCCGAUGAGUUCUCCUGCCAAGCCAGUAUAUUCAUCAGUUGCCACAGCUUCCAUAUCAACACCAGAGAAGAGGGGUGGGGCAGGUAGCAGCACCUCCACUCCCUCUCACCCACCCCCGCCUUACGGAGCUCACCACACGACUGCAGCGAUGGCCGACCGGCGUGUUGUGAGGCCCAACCGCCUUCCUUUAGGCAGAAGAAGUUUCCAUGGUCCGCUGCGGGUUAGUGAGCCCUCCACAGCGUCUGCAGGCACCUCCACCUCAGUCCCUGCCUCUGUCAGCUCUUCUGAAGGCCCUUCCAGUCCCGGAGAGUAUAUUAAUAUUGAGUUUGGAGAUCACUACCCCCACCAACAACAGCCCCCCGCCUAUCCUCUCUCUGCCCAAGACGAACCACCUUCCCUGGCAUCCAGUGACCACCAUCGCUCCCCUCCCCAGCCCCAAACUCAACAGGACUAUAUGAGUGUGGAGGUAGGAGCCGAGCAGCAGGACAGCGCUGGAUGUCUGGGUAAAAGCCAGUCUCCCAGACCCAGCCUUGUCGCUCCCUGGAACCCACCUAGCUAUAUCCGACCCCUGGCUAGCAAUCCUGGGGCGCUGGCCUCCCCUGGAGUCCCGGCUGGAGGUCACUGGAUGUCAAUGGGGGAUGACUACACGGACAUGACCUUUAACCUCAGUAGAGGUGAGAGGACGCAAACAAGCCCCUCAGCCAUGCUGCAGCAUCUCUGUGUGAUAGAGGGACGUUACAGCCAUGCUCCCUCCGCCUCGGCCUCAUCCAUUUCUCCUCCUCUCCCUCCGUCGAGCCCAGGCAGGGCGCCGACACACCAGGUGGAACCCAAGGUGGUUCGGGCCGACCCCCAAGGCAGGAGGAGACACAGCUCUGAGACAUUCUCCUCCACUUCCUCCUCUAAUUCGACACCCUCUGGAGGAGGACUGGGCUCCUCAACCUCAGCCGCCCACCCCACACUGGUCAACCCCGUGGCCCCCAACGGGUCUUUCCUAACAGAGGGUCAAGCUUCAAGAUGGGCCAGUUCAGCAUCUUUUGACAGUGUGUGGGUGUCCAUGGAGGGUCUUGGGGACUCACCAGCUCACCAUCCUCCGGUAAGAUCCACAGAAAUGGGCACGACCUCCGGGACGUCAGCAUCCUCUUCCUCCUCUUCCUCCUCGGGGGCAGGGGCAGGUAGAAUGUGCAGGAACAUGUCUGUGGGCUACCAGAAUGGCCUGAAUUAUAUUGCCUUGGAGCUGAGAGAGGACGGGAGUAACAUGGGAGCCGUGAUGUCGGGAGCUGGUAGCAGCAGUGGGAGCUCGGCGGCAGCGGGGACGGUGCCUCUGCUGGAGAACGGAGCCUAUGCCAGUAUAGACUUCACCAAAUCUGAUGGAGUCACCACCACAACCAAGGACUGAGCGACGGGACGAUCGAGGUUCGCCACCCUCCUCCUCCUCCUCCUCCUCAUCUCUGUGCUGGGGACACUUGACUCUGCCUGUGACCUUUGGCCUCCACCUCCCCUCCCCUCACCCCCCUGCUGCUGCUGCUGCCGGUGACCUCCUCACCCAGACUGAGAAGCCGCUCCCUUCUGGAUGCAGAAGACAACAUCACAGCAGAUGACAAAAAAACGCUUGCAAUUUAUUUUUAUUGUUAAAUGUAUUUCAUCUUUUUUUAUUUUUUUGUGUGUGUUUUAUAUGCAUAUUUUGUCACUUCCUCCCCCUCUCUCACACUUGAUGCUGCCAGUGUGUGCUGCUUUGUCCCCCCCGUCCCCUCAUGUUCAGCAGAUAGCAGUCAGUGAACGUUGAGGGGAUCUACAGAACCCUUCGUAGUCUUAUGGUUCUGCUUCUACUAAUUGAGUACGAAGAAAAGGCAUUAUGGUACAGACUUUUAUGUUAACAUAAUAAUAUUAAUUUUUAUCUUUUAUUCUUUUUUUUUUCUUUUUUUUUACCCCAUGCAUAAUCCAUCCUCAAUACAGUACGAUACAGUUAUUACAUUGCGGACAAAGUUGUAGUUGAAAAUGCUUUUUGUUUUGUUUUGGUUUUUUUUAAACAGAUUAUCCCUUAAAUGGUACGAACUCGUGGCCUGAUCCAUUUUAGCCACAGAGUGGACGAGCGGCAUUGCACGAGUACUGUGUUUGUUCUCACACUUUCCCCAGUCAGAUAUGUGGAGUUUUACUGCACCGAGGCAGUUCAGACUGUGCCUUCGUCAGCGUCCGAGGUGUUCAUCACUCACGGCUAACCCACUAAUCAGCGGUACGACACUUUCUCAUCAACUUUCUUUCAACUGAUAAGGUGCUUUAAGAAAAUUUCAGCCUCUCCCUCCGUCCCGUCUCCAUCACCUUAGGAUAUAAGAGAUAAAUAAGCAAUCGUUUCCUGUCUGUGCAUUUCAAAAUGUGGAGGUUAAUGCUAACGUUGUCGGUACAGAAACAGGAGAGCUUUUGAGCUCUCCGUUUGCCUCUUUAUGGCCCCCUGGAGGGUCAGCAUCGUCGAGCGGGCCUCAGCAGAUCCAUGUUUCAAAAGGUCCGAUUUAAAAGUGAAAGUACAACAAAAUGUUUAAAGAUUUUAAGCCUGUGACGUGUCUUACAUGUACAUUAUGAACAAUUUGAGAGAUUUGUCCCCUUUCAAAUGAACAAAGAAUUGAAUAUAAAUUAUUUAGGCUGCAGCGGCCCACGACAAACGAAUAUUUUUGUUUCUUACGUUUGCAAAAUGUUUUGUGUACGUACUAUGCUACAGCAACGUGUUGCUUUUGGGUUUGUUUGGUUUUUUUGACGCUAUGGCAAAAAAGAUAGAGCUAGAUUUUGGGGCAUUUUUGAACCCCCCCCACCCACCCCUUAAUUUAUUUGAAGCAUUAUUAAAAAAAUGGAUGUAUGUCGUUCAUGUCUGAUAGCCUUCAUGUUGAAUUUUAACACCCCCUCCCCCUUUAAUUCUUUGUCAUGACUGAAUUCAUUCACAGAGUCUCUGUUUAUCUUGGCAACAAUUCAACCUCAAAACUGUCCUCAUUGCAACCUUAAAGAUCAGCUGUUAUGAAUUUUUCUUGUUCGGGGUUGAGAAGUGAGAAAGAAAUGAGACCUACGUAAUAUAUUUACAUAUAUGUAUAUGUAUACAUAAAUAUAUAUAAUCCUUGCAGAGAAGACUUAGGGUACUGCAUCAUUAUGCAAACUUUUGUUUCCUUUUUCCUCUUAAUCUUUUGGUUUAUUUUGUAUUCUAGUUUACAGAGGGAAAAUAAUCAUCUUAUUUUUGGUUGUUUUGUUGUAUCGGGGCAACAUUGUUUCUCUGAAAACAAAGCGAUACAAGGGUAGUAUUUGUUUUUUAAGAGUACAUAGGCAUUUUGCAGUUAUUUGUAUAAAGAAAUGGGUUACAGCCUCUGCAUAAUGUUUAUUUUUUGUAACUAUCUUGCAGUUUUAUUUGCUGCUGUGUAGUACAGUUAACAGUUGGAAAAGCUGUCGGUGGCAACCAUAGCGACGAAGAUGAUGAUGAUCAUUGCCCAGACAUGGGUUUCUUUAUUUUUUUUUUGUCCUCCCCCAAAUCUUUUCAAAACUUUGGAGGAUUUUGGCGGAGGUGGGCGGGGAAAGCAGAUCCCUCCCCACCCUGCCACCUGUGUUCUUAGUUUCUGAGUUGAAUGCUGUUGUUUAUUAGCUUUACAGGAAAGAGUUAAAAAAAAUACUGUGGAGGUGUGUAUCCUUCGUAUGUGCAUUAUUUUUCAGCGACGUACGUCCUAUAUAGAAAAAAGAAGAAAAACGUUUAAAAAAAGAGAGAGAGAGAGAGAGAAACCGUGGUGGGAAAAGAAAUCCUCCUCCUGUAAAUACGAAAAACUCAAGUUGUCGCUUUUUUCAUGUUAUGAUCAGCGCCUCCCCUCAUCCCUUAUUUUGUUUUUGUUUUAUUUCCUUCUCUCUUUCGUUCUCUUUUUUUUCCUCGUGGAGGGAGAGGGAGGUAGGAGGGGUACGCAGAGGCGAUUUGAGCAUCGGCAUAGUGUUUAUAUUUAUCAGAACUUUUUUGCUUUCGAUAGAGCUAUUGCAAUAAAAAUGUGUUCAUGUAA